rnacentral:miRNA from 1 species
GCCGCCUCCUUGGUUCUGUC